AAACAAUUGGAGCCGAGUUUUAAAAAAAAUACUGGGUUUCUGUUUUUUGUCUUUUAUUCUAAGCGAUGGAAAUGAAAUAAAAUCUUAAGGAUCGGGUAUAUAUGUAAAACGUGAAAUAUUGAUCUUAAAGGCCGAAUUUAAAAACAAAUGCAUUUAUAAUAAGCAAGAUGUAGCCAUUGGGUAACAAAAUUUCUGCACCGAUAGCGAAGUCGUCGAUUUCAAAAAAGACCAGCGAGCUCUAUUAAGACAAAGAAUAAAAUUUUGAGAAAAAAAACUUCAAUUAAAAACUACUCAAACAAUCCAAACCACUUCAAAACCAAAUAACUGAAUUAAAUUCUAACAGAAAUUGUUCUUUAAAAAUUACUUGAAAAGAAAUAAUUCAUCAAAUAUCCAAUUUUAACAGCAGGGAAUUUCACUUAUUAUAAAAGCACUUAAUGAUUUGGAAGUUGCUUUCAUCUGAUAACUGUAUUCUGCGUGAAGAUGUUUAACUGCCUUUGAAAUCUUUCAAAAUUCAGUGUAAAUCUACACUUCUGGUAUGUUGAGUGAGAAUGAAAUAUUCGUAAUGUCUUGAUAUUCCAUACAUGUGGCUUCUUGGCGACGAUAACUGUCAGAAUUAUGUAGGGAAUACUUAGUAUAGCCUUUGCGACAGAAGAACAUCAUUGAGGUUUGUCUGUUCAUUAAAAGUAGCUGAUACUAGAAUAAAUGUAAAUUAAGGAGGUAAAAAUAGCAGGAACUUGAAGUUGCGUAAAUUUAAACUGCUUUAAUUGUAGAAUGGUACCCCCCCCCCAAUCCUCGCCUAUUUAAUGACUUAUUUUUUCGUUUUUGUCACAUUCUAUCAACUAGCAAUUUGGAUGACCAGAAAACUAUCAGACUGAUAGAUAACGGUAAGUUAAAAGAAUUUUGUUAAUUAUCAUGCCAAAAUUAGAAUAUAAUCUUUCAAUGUGAGUAUUAAAUAAUUGUAACCUUACUAAUGUGGACACUUAAGUAUAUAUAGGUUAGAACACUAACGACCUUUUGCUGACUAAAGGCUUCCGACUCGCCAGAAGAAGUGAGAUUGCUUCCUCGGUUCUCUCAUGUUCUGAGCUGACAUGAACUACGCUGGAUGAUGUGAAAGGCUCGCUACAGAUGGCAACAAUAUAUUGAAUCCAAGUAUCCAGAUAGUUCCUUGAUUAUAAUACUAAAACUGUAAAAAUAUGACAUUCACUAAUAAUUUUAUUCUUCUAGUGAGUUGUAAGUUAUAAGGAGACAAACCAUAAUUACAUAGAAACAUCUAUCGAAACAUAUGUAGCAUUUCCAUCUAUUUCUCAACAUAAGAAUCAGUUGAAUAGAAAAACGGCCAUUCUGAGAUCAAUUUCUGUAAAGGGCCGAAUAAAUCAGUCGCCACAGAAUGGAGCUAGUAUGAGAGGGCCUUCUGCAAGAGGCCGUCCUCACCAGGGAAAGGUUACCCGGCAAGUAACGAACCACUUGGUGCUAAAACAGGAAAAGAAAUGUUUCCAGGUGAUGUGUCACUGUCCCGUUUGUAGAGUGACUGCUUCAGUUUCUGACCGAUUCUUACCACCAAUAUGGAUAAUGGGAACAUUUUCUCAGUGGUAUAUACAAGUUCUAAAACCUACUGCUUAUAUUAAUGCUUUUUUCUGAGUGAAGACAUCCUAUCCACUCAUGAAGUAAGACGGCUUUCAUGAUUCCACAUGUUCUGAACUACUCCCGCUACAAAUGACGACACAUUUUGGCAAUGAAAAAAGCAAGUUCCCCUUAAACUAUACGGAGGCAAUCCAUAAUUACUGGAAACAUCUAUCAAAACAGAAGCAAUAUUUUCAGCUAUUUCUCAACACAAGAAUAAGGAUUGAAAAGUGUUGACUCGUCGAUUCCGAAGCGAUAUCGGAUCACCACCCUCCACCAGAAGCGAGACUGCUUUCUCGGAUCCACCCAUGUUCUGAACUGGCAUCUACUGAGCUGGAUGUUAUGAAAUACUCCUACAGAUAUCAAAAUAUUGAAAAUACAAGUAUAGUCAGUUCCUUUAUUAUAAUACUAAAAUUGUAGAAAUGACAUUCUCUAAUCGUUUUUUCUUAUAGAAGGGAAGUUUCCAGUAAAGAGAGAACCAUUAUUUGUAAAUCUUUUAUCAAAACAGAAGCAGCAUAUCCAUUUCUCAAUGUAAGAAUCGGCAGAACUGCAGCACGUGCCAUUCGGAGAUCAAAUUCUGUACAAGUAAGGGUUAAAUAAAUCAAUCGCCUGCAUAUGACAGCCUUCUGCAAGUCGUCGUUCUCAAAAUGAAAAUUUUGUCCUGCCAAGAACUUUCUACUGUAUUGAAAU